AAGAAUUUAAGUUAAAAAAACUGUUAACCUUCAAAGCUAAAAAUAGGAUAAAAAAUCCUAAUUCUUA
rnacentral:tRNA from 1 species